CACUCCUGCGGGAGGCAGCAGUGGGGAAUUUUGGACAAUGGGCGAAAGCCUGAUCCAGCAAUGCCGCGUGAGUGAAGAAGGCCUUCGGGUUGUAAAGCUCUUUUGUCAGGGAAGAAACGGUGAAAGCUAAUAUCUUUUGCUAAUGACGGUACCUGAAGAAUAAGCACCGGCUAACUACGUGCCAGCAGCCGCGGUAAUACGUAGGGUGCAAGCGUUAAUCGGAAUUACUGGGCGUAAAGCGUGCGCAGGCGGUUUUGUAAGUCUGAUGUGAAAUCCCCGGGCUCAACCUGGGAAUUGCAUUGGAGACUGCAAGGCUAGAAUCUGGCAGAGGGGGGUAGAAUUCCACGUGUAGCAGUGAAAUGCGUAGAUAUGUGGAGGAACACCGAUGGCGAAGGCAGCCCCCUGGGUCAAGAUUGACGCUCAUACACGAAAGCGUGGGGAGCAAACAGGAUUAGAAACCCGAGUAGUCCCAUGAU
rnacentral:rRNA from 1 species